CCUAGUAAGUACAAGUCACUAGCUUGUGCUGAUUACGUCCCUGCCCUUUGUACACACCGCCCGUCGCUACUACCGAUUGAAUGGCUUAGUGAGGCCCUCGGAUCGAGUUUCGGAGACUGGCAACAGUUUCUGUUUCUUGAGAAGUUGGUCAAACUUGGUCAUUUAGAGGAAGUAAAAGUCGUAACAUGGUUUCCGUAGGUGAACCUGCGGAAGGAUCAUUA
rnacentral:rRNA from 1 species